rnacentral:rRNA from 1 species
GAUGAACGCUAGCGGCAGGCCUAACACAUGCAAGUCGAGGGAGGAGCUUUCGGGCUUCGACCGGCGUACGGGUGCGUAACGCGUAUACAAUCUGCCUUUCACAUAGGGAUAGCCCGAAGAAAUUUGGAUUAAUACCUAAUGGUAUAUAGAGGUGGCAUCACCUUUAUAUUAAAGCUGAGGCGGUGAAAGAUGAGUAUGCGUUCUAUUAGCUAGUUGGAGAGGUAACGGCUCCCCAAGGCGACGAUAGAUAGGGGUUCUGAGAGGGAUAUCCCCCACACUGGUACUGAGAUACGGACCAGACUCCUACGGGAGGCAGCAGUGAGGAAUAUUGGACAAUGGUAGGAAGACUGAUCCAGCCAUGCCGCGUGCAGGAAGACGGCCUUAUGGGUUGUAAACUGCUUUUGCAGGGGAAGAAUAAGGACUACGCGUAGUUUGAUGACGGUACUCUGCGAAUAAGCAUCGGCUAACUCCGUG